UCACGUAUACGUAUAUACGUUUUCUGUCACACAGCCACCGCUCACCGACUCGUGUCUGCUUCAGCCGCACAUCUGCAGGUCCGGUCUAUACCGUAUUUUGUAGUCCGUAUAUUUUGUAUUUCAUAUUAAAUUGUAUCAAAAAUAAUAAUACUAAUAAUAAUAAUAAGAAGAAGAAGAAUCAUAAUGAUAAUUAUUAAAUACUAAUAUUAUUAUUUACUCGGUUGUUAUUCUAAACGCUUUUUUUUGGGGGGGUUUCAUACGACCAAAACCGAUUUAUUCUCUGGCCGGGUGCUCGUUCCACGCUUACAAAACGGCAAAGCUGUGUGAAUUUCCACACGCGCGCACACACGCGCGCACACACACACACAUACGCACUCUGCCGCCGUCGUGUCGUCACCGACGUAGCUGUAGCCGCCACCGUCGCCGUCGCCGUUCAUUCUCCGGUCGACCACUGUCGGUGCUCGUUUGUGUUGCCACAAUCACUGCAGUCGUACUUUAGCCAACGGUUUCCGAAGAUCAAUUUUCGACGACACGAAUAAUUACUGCCAAACAACACAACGUUAUCAUGACAUCACCCGCAGCAUCGCCACAAAAGCCAGCCAUUACCAACUCCACUGCGUCACCAGUCCGUUUGCCGAGCGUUCAGCCGACUCCGACGCACAACUCGCAGCCCACCGCCGCACAGUCCGUUCAGGGUAAAUGGCAGUGCGCUCUGAGGGACAACCCGGUAAUCGCCAGCGGAACUAUGGCUUGGACGAGAGUGUGGAGAUUCUCCAAGCUUCUGCUGCAGACCGGAUGUUAGGUGUAUACAGCGGCGGAUUUUCACACAAAUAAAUUAUUACUCUCUCUUUCACUCUCUAUCUCUCUGUUUUUCCGUGUCAACAAGAAAAGACAACUUUUUUAUUUUUAUUUUAGAAUAAAUAAUAUAGUCGUAUAUAUUAUAUAUGUACGCAUAAAUUUCACUAUAGUUCGGAGUAGUUACACUAUCGGCGUGUAUGUUUAAUAAUUCCAAACAAUAACAACACGACUUUAAUGUAAUAUACGACUAAUAAUAAAAGACUACGAUAAUGACGUCUCAUACAUUUAUAUUAUAAUAUAUGGAUUAGUGUGAUGUACGUUAAGUUAAAGGUUAGUUAUAAUUAAUAUAUAUUGUAUGAUCUACACCGAGGAGUACUGUAUCGGGAUCCCUGCCCACAUUGUCUUGUACCUAUAUAUUAUAAUAUUACUUAGACUUAGUACAAUAAUGCCACGAUAUUAUAAUUUGUUAACUUUCGAAUUAAUGAUUUUUUAUUAUAUAAUAUAGUAAGCGUUAUUAUUAUAAUUUUUUUUUUUUUUAGAAUUUUUCGUUUAUAUCGACUACUAUAAUAUCGCGUCAACCAAAGCCAGUUGUUUUUAUUUGUUAAAUAUUAUAAUAAUAUAAUCGCAUAUCCGAAAUUUGAUUCAUCGAUUGUAAAUGCGCAACUGUGUGACAUGUAAGACGUGUGUACACAUUUUGCACAAAAAAAUAUAAGGAAUAACUAUUUGACCAUAAUUUGUAUCACGACAUGGUUGAAAACAAAAAAUACAUUGAUAAAUAGAGAAAAAAAAUCCUUUUUUCUCUUUGAAUACAACAUUUAAUACGUUUUGAAUAAAGGUUUACCGCAGUUUCGUCUACGCAUGUAAAGCUAAAUAUUGUAUCGAUCGCGGAUAUAUUUGAGAUAAAUUACAUUUGUUAAAAACAAAUGACAUUAUAGGUAAUAAGACCAAACUAUUUAAUUGUGAUGAAUAAAAUCGAAAUGUACCUAUAAUUAAAUAGGAAUUCCUAUUUAUUUUCUAUAUUAAUUUAUUGAAUUAACAAUAGUACAACAAAUCGGUUCAACGUACUUGAAAAUUCGUAAACCAUACAGAACGUGACAUUGUAACAAUCAUAGAUGAAUACAUUAAUAAUGUCUAGAAAUUCGGAUCAACAAAACAAUAUGACGUGAAUUGUCACUAGUAAAUAAUAACAUUAACCAUUUGUGACAUUUUUUUUUUUUUGUUCAAUUUCUGGAACUAUGAAAUUUUAUUGGAUAAACAAUAAUAACAAUUAUAGAUAGGUAAUAUUGUAAUGACAGGGACGUACCAUAAAACUGUACUGUGCAAUUACUAAUCAUAGGUACCCAUUAUAUUAUAUUAGAUAUAAAAUUGUGCAAUUAGAUUACUGUUUUAAAUUGUUGUGUGCUCCUAAUGUAGCAAUAAAAAUAAAAUGCAACCGUUACCCGUAAUUGUUAGUGUACAUCACGUUAACGAUUUUACUUCUUUUAUGUCAGGUUGCAUAAUCUAUCACUGAAAUUUUUAUUAAUCAAUAGUGAGCUAAGGAUCUCUUGAUCGUUUCAUUGCAAUUUAGUGAAUCAAUUAAAUUAAUUAAAUUUGUCUGCAACCUGGAUCUAUUAGCAUAGAUAAGUGUUUUCUGUAAUUCGAAAGUUUAGAUUUGUUAGUUGUUUAUCAUAUUAUAAUAUUGUUCUCAAUAAUUUAAGCAAUCGUAAUUCAUUAUUUGAACUUACUAAAUCAUAUGAAAUUGUACUCUUAACAUUUAAAAUAAGCAUGUUGUUUAACUUCGAUACGUAUAGUAGGUACGUUGUGCAUUGGUAAUUAUUGGUACCCAAUAAUAAACCAAUAAUUUGAUUUCGUUACUAAAUUACCGCCUGCUUCUUCAUCAGAUUCUUUAUAUCGCAUAAUGGAUAUAUUGUAUACAGACCAAAAUUCUGUUCAAUACUAUUGUCAUUUCAAACGAGCAAAUUAUAAUUGCAACCUUAACAAUAAUAUCUAAGACGAGUAACAUAUAUAAACUAUGUUCAUUACUUAACAAUUGCCUUGAUUUACGAUUGUUGAAUUGUAUAUCUCACGAUAAACUUAAAGAAAUAAGUAAUAAUUAUUGUUAUACUUUUAAAUUAUAAUAUUUGCUAAUAUUGGUAAUGCAUUUUUACGUUUCAAUGUAUACUAGUUUAUGUGACGUUUUGUAUUUUUAAAUUACAUUUUGUAGCGUGUUUCUUAAACAUUGUUUAACAUACGGAUUGUUGUAAGUGAAUUUUUACAAUUUAUUAUUAUAAUUAUUAAAAUAUAUAAAAAUCACAAAUUGUUU